ACGCGUGGAACCUUACCAGGUCUUGACAUCCUCUGACACUCCUAGAGAUAGGACGUUCCCCUUCGGGGGACAGAGUGACAGGUGGUGCAUGGUUGUCGUCAGCUCGUGUCGUGAGAUGUUGGGUUAAGUCCCGCAACGAGCGCAACCCUUGAUCUUAGUUGCCAGCAUUAAGUUGGGCACUCUAAGGUGACUGCCGGUGACAAACCGGAGGAAGGUGGGGAUGACGUCAAAUCAUCAUGCCCCUUAUGACCUGGGCUACACACGUGCUACAAUGGACGGUACAAACGGUUGCCAACCCGCGAGGGGGAGCUAAUCCGAUAAAACCGUUCUCAGUUCGGAUUGUAGGCUGCAACUCGCCUACAUGAAGCCGGAAUCGCUAGUAAUCGCGGAUCAGCAUGCCGCGGUGAAUACGUUCCCGGGCCUUGCACUCACCGCCCGU
rnacentral:rRNA from 1 species